UGGGUCUAAUACCGGAUAGGACCAUGGACUUCACGGUUUGUGGUGGAAAGCUUUUGCGGUGUGGGAUGGGCCCGCGGCCUAUCAGCUUGUUGGUGGGGUAAUGGCCUACCAAGGCGACGACGGGUAGCCGGCCUGAGAGGGUGUCCGGCCACACUGGGACUGAGAUACGGCCCAGACUCCUACGGGAGGCAGCAGUGGGGAAUAUUGCACAAUGGGCGCAAGCCUGAUGCAGCGACGCCGCGUGAGGGAUGACGGCCUUCGGGUUGUAAACCUCUUUCAAUAGGGACGAAGCGCAAGUGACGGUACCUAUAGAAGAAGCACCGGCCAACUACGUG
rnacentral:rRNA from 1 species